rnacentral:lncRNA from 1 species
AAUUGCAUGAUGUGCAUAAAACUAAGUUUGGGGUGGAAAUCUUGAAAGAGAGGGCAAGUGCAUAAUAAGAGAUCAUACAAAAAGAAAAUAUUAGUGUAUGUCCAACAGAAAAAAAAAAGAAAAAAAAAAGAGAAAAAUGCACUUGCCGAUACCUAAGACUCUCACACCUACAAAAUGCUCACAAAAAUUCGAGUAGAAAAAGAGUCAAAAGAGUAAAAUUUACCCCCAGAGUUUAUUUGAUGCAAAAGAAAAAGAGAAAUAAAAAUCACACAACAUGACUAUCGAGUUCAAAACCCUUUGUUAUCCAUUUUUUUUG